rnacentral:rRNA from 1 species
AGCGUACACGGUGGAUGCCCUGGCAGUCAGAGGCGAUGAAGGACGUGCUAAUCUGCGAUAAGCGUCGGUAAGGUGAUAUGAACCGUUAUAACCGGCGAUUUCCGAAUGGGGAAACCCAGUGUGUUUCGACACACUAUCAUUAACUGAAUCCAUAGGUUAAUGAGGCGAACCGGGGGAACUGAAACAUCUAAGUACCCCGAGGAAAAGAAAUCAACCGAGAUUCCCCCAGUAGCGGCGAGCGAACGGGGAGCAGCCCAGAGCCUGAAUCAGUGUGUGUGUUAGUGGAAGCGUCUGGAAAGGCGCGCGAUACAGGGUGACAGCCCCGUACACAAAAAUGCACAUGCUGUGAGCUCGAUGAGUAGGGCGGGACACGUGGUAUCCUGUCUGAAUAUGGGGGGACCAUCCUCCAAGGCUAAAUACUCCUGACUGACCGAUAGUGAACCAGUACCGUGAGGGAAAGGCGAAAAGAACCCCGGCGAGGGGAGUGAAAAAGAACCUGAAACCGUGUACGUACAAGCAGUGGGAGCACGCUUAGGCGUGUGACUGCGUACCUUUUGUAUAAUGGGUCAGCGACUUAUAUUCUGUAGCAAGGUUAACCGAAUAGGGGAGCCGAAGGGAAACCGAGUCUUAACUGGGCGUUAAGUUGCAGGGUAUAGACCCGAAACCCGGUGAUCUAGCCAUGGGCAGGUUGAAGGUUGGGUAACACUAACUGGAGGACCGAACCGACUAAUGUUGAAAAAUUAGCGGAUGACUUGUGGCUGGGGGUGAAAGGCCAAUCAAACCGGGAGAUAGCUGGUUCUCCCCGAAAGCUAUUUAGGUAGCGCCUCGUGAAUUCAUCUCCGGGGGUAGAGCACUGUUUCGGCAAGGGGGUCAUCCCGACUUACCAACCCGAUGCAAACUGCGAAUACCGGAGAAUGUUAUCACGGGAGACACACGGCGGGUGCUAACGUCCGUCGUGAAGAGGGAAACAACCCAGACCGCCAGCUAAGGUCCCAAAGUCAUGGUUAAGUGGGAAACGAUGUGGGAAGGCCCAGACAGCCAGGAUGUUGGCUUAGAAGCAGCCAUCAUUUAAAGAAAGCGUAAUAGCUCACUGGUCGAGUCGGCCUGCGCGGAAGAUGUAACGGGGCUAAACCAUGCACCGAAGCUGCGGCAGCGACGCUGAUGCGUUGUUGGGUAGGGGAGCGUUCUGUAAGCCUGCGAAGGUGUGCUGUGAGGCAUGCUGGAGGUAUCAGAAGUGCGAAUGCUGACAUAAGUAACGAUAAAGCGGGUGAAAAGCCCGCUCGCCGGAAGACCAAGGGUUCCUGUCCAACGUUAAUCGGGGCAGGGUGAGUCGACCCCUAAGGCGAGGCCGAAAGGCGUAGUCGAUGGGAAACAGGUUAAUAUUCCUGUACUUGGUGUUACUGCGAAGGGGGGACGGAGAAGGCUAUGUUGGCCGGGCGACGGUUGUCCCGGUUUAAGCGUGUAGGCUGGUUUUCCAGGCAAAUCCGGAAAAUCAAGGCUGAGGCGUGAUGACGAGGCACUACGGUGCUGAAGCAACAAAUGCCCUGCUUCCAGGAAAAGCCUCUAAGCAUCAGGUAACAUCAAAUCGUACCCCAAACCGACACAGGUGGUCAGGUAGAGAAUACCAAGGCGCUUGAGAGAACUCGGGUGAAGGAACUAGGCAAAAUGGUGCCGUAACUUCGGGAGAAGGCACGCUGAUAUGUAGGUGAAGCGACUUGCUCGUGGAGCUGAAAUCAGUCGAAGAUACCAGCUGGCUGCAACUGUUUAUUAAAAACACAGCACUGUGCAAACACGAAAGUGGACGUAUACGGUGUGACGCCUGCCCGGUGCCGGAAGGUUAAUUGAUGGGGUUAGCCGCAAGGCGAAGCUCUUGAUCGAAGCCCCGGUAAACGGCGGCCGUAACUAUAACGGUCCUAAGGUAGCGAAAUUCCUUGUCGGGUAAGUUCCGACCUGCACGAAUGGCGUAAUGAUGGCCAGGCUGUCUCCACCCGAGACUCAGUGAAAUUGAACUCGCUGUGAAGAUGCAGUGUACCCGCGGCAAGACGGAAAGACCCCGUGAACCUUUACUAUAGCUUGACACUGAACAUUGAGCCUUGAUGUGUAGGAUAGGUGGGAGGCUUUGAAGUGUGGACGCCAGUCUGCAUGGAGCCGACCUUGAAAUACCACCCUUUAAUGUUUGAUGUUCUAACGUUGACCCGUAAUCCGGGUUGCGGACAGUGUCUGGUGGGUAGUUUGACUGGGGCGGUCUCCUCCUAAAGAGUAACGGAGGAGCACGAAGGUUGGCUAAUCCUGGUCGGACAUCAGGAGGUUAGUGCAAUGGCAUAAGCCAGCUUGACUGCGAGCGUGACGGCGCGAGCAGGUGCGAAAGCAGGUCAUAGUGAUCCGGUGGUUCUGAAUGGAAGGGCCAUCGCUCAACGGAUAAAAGGUACUCCGGGGAUAACAGGCUGAUACCGCCCAAGAGUUCAUAUCGACGGCGGUGUUUGGCACCUCGAUGUCGGCUCAUCACAUCCUGGGGCUGAAGUAGGUCCCAAGGGUAUGGCUGUUCGCCAUUUAAAGUGGUACGCGAGCUGGGUUUAGAACGUCGUGAGACAGUUCGGUCCCUAUCUGCCGUGGGCGCUGGAGAACUGAGGGGGGCUGCUCCUAGUACGAGAGGACCGGAGUGGACGCAUCACUGGUGUUCGGGUUGUCAUGCCAAUGGCACUGCCCGGUAGCUAAAUGCGGAAGAGAUAAGUGCUGAAAGCAUCUAAGCACGAAACUUGCCCCGAGAUGAGUUCU